AAGAAACAAAUCCGGUUCACAUUGAGAAAAAAAAAAAAAAAAUUCUUUCAUUUGGAAUUUUGGAGCACCCCAAAACACAUCCCAACACGAGAUAAUCCAAGAUGUAGUUCUUGAUACAUUAAUAAUUAUCCAGCUUCAACUUGAGCUGAAUAAUGACUUGAAAUUUCCUGAAAAAAAGAGAAGCAUCACCAUGCUCAUCUUCCUGAUACCAGAAAGAAGAAGAAAGACCCUUUCAUCAAAAAAAGCUUGAUGUUAAUUUUGAUAUGUUGAAGAUGACCAACACUUUUAUAUUCAACAAUAGAAACAAAAAAUCACAGAAUGUCUGACACAUGGCACUGACACAAUGUUGAUGACAAAGGCAGGGUUAAAAAUGAGACACAAAUAAUUCUUGCAAUUAAUGAUACACAAUGAUGCAAAAGAAAAUCUAUUUUAUUUAUUGCGGAGCUAAUUAAAUUGUUAUAUUCACUGGAAAUGUGAUUGGAAUUAUAUCUAUCUACGUAAAUAUAAGAUUUGAAAGCUGAGUUGUCAUUUCAAUGCAAAAAACAUCUUUAAGAAAAAAAUAAUUUCGUUCAAAGAUAAACACACCAAUGGCCCAUCAGAGAAAUAAAAAUUAACACAAUCAAUUUUUAUGUAGAAAAAAAAAAAAAUAAUAAUAAUAGC